CUGCGGCGUCGGAAGCGAUUCCGGCGUCGUAGCCAAAGAUGGAUCCGCAGCUCAUGAAGCCGCGCUCCUAUGAAGAAUUUGACUAGCAGGGGCAUCCGGGCAACGCUCGGACUAUCUGUGGGAUCCGUAGUGGCUUUACCAAAGUCGCUGCUCCAUGACUUUGGAACGACCAUGUGCGGCUCGCGCCGAUGGUAUCCCCUCAAGAGGGUGACCA
rnacentral:ncRNA from 1 species